rnacentral:rRNA from 1 species
UACGAAGGGGGCUAGCGUUGUUCGGAAUUACUGGGCGUAAAGGGCGCGUAGGCAGUCAGCACAAGUCAGUUGUGAAAUCUCCGGGCUUAACCCGGAAAGGUCAACUGAUACUGUGCGACUAGAGUGCGGAAGGGGCAACUGGAAUUCUCGGUGUAGCGGUGAAAUGCGUAGAUAUCGAGAGGAACACCUGCGGCGAAGGCGGGUUGCUGGGCCGACACUGACGCUGAUGCGCGAAAGCCAGGGGAGCGAACGGG